rnacentral:lncRNA from 1 species
UCAGGCUUGCAGCGGAUGACUUUGGCACAGACUGUAAAGCCAGAGACUGAGUUUCACCCAUCCUAAUAUACUUUAUUUAAAAAAAAAAAAAAAAAGUCUCAGUGGUAUAGUCACAAUGGGUAACUAACUGUAUCUUUAAAUUACAUAGGGAAUUUUGUUGUAUGUUUAAAUACCCGUACCCAGUUCCAUAUUGCUUAUCUUAGAAACUAGUAAAAGAAAACUAUAUAAACCGUGUGUUUGUGGAUGCCCCUCUGUAGAGCGUUCACUUAGGUUCCGUGUGUAGUGUGACGGUGAUCGUAGAUAUCGACAGCGUAGUAGGUGGCCGAGUCACAGGAGAGAUUGCUCUGUCCCUGCAUUCUGAACGUUAACUCCCGCCCACGUAAAUAAACCAGUAUUGUCCUUUCCUGUCGGUUUGGUCAGUUGCAGUACCGGUAGCUUUCUGCUUGUGACGGUUACCUAAGUGUGUCAAUGUACAUCUGUAGUAUGUACAUGUGAAAGUGCCUUCCUACCUUAGCGUUUAGCCUAGCUCUUGGACUGUGGCCCACUAGGUCCCGCCCACUUCCUUCAUUUCCAGCCACGCCCCACAGUGUUCUGAAACCCCCUCCGCUCCUUCCCAGCCUCUCCCCACCCCCAUCAUCCUCCCGUGCCUCUGUCACGUGCAUCUCGCAUCCACGUGGAUUACCGCACUGUCUUGUUGCCCUCCUAGACGUGACUGUGCCUUUCUCACCCCGCUGUGACUCCCUGCCGUCUGAUCCAACCUUCCCACCCACAGUGCCACUGCCAUCCUGUCCCUUGCUCUGUACCGGUUCUCUCUGAGGUGAGGAGAAAAGUGAUGCUUUUACAGUCCUGGAAGAAAUGAUGAUGUUUUGUUAAUUUGUCGUGACGAUGCACUUUUCUGUAUAGUACAGUACAUUUUUGGCAUGUACCAUUACAGGCUUCAGUAUACGGUCGGGUUUGUUCUUCAAGGUGUAGCUUUAUAAUAAAUAUGAUAGUUCU